UACAGAGGUCCCAAGCGUUGUUCGGAUUCAUUGGGCGUAAAGGGUGCGUAGGCGGCGCGGUAAGUCGGGUGUGAAAUCUCGGAGCUUAACUCCGAAACUGCAUUCGAUACUGCCGUGCUUGAGGACUGGAGAGGAGACUGGAAUUUACGGUGUAGCGGUGAAAUGCGUAGAUAUCGUAAGGAAGACCAGUGGCGAAGGCGGGUCUCUGGACAGUUCCUGACGCUGAGACACGAAGGCCAGGGGAGCAAACGGG
rnacentral:rRNA from 1 species